rnacentral:rRNA from 1 species
CCCAGACAGCCAGGAUGUUGGCUUAGAAGCAGCCAUCAUUUAAAGAAAGCGUAAUAGCUCACUGGUCGAGUCGGCCUGCGCGGAAGAUGUAACGGGGCUAAACCAUGCACCGAAGCUGCGGCAGCGAACGUAUCACUUAAAGCGAUUCAGCGGGUUACGAUUGACGGAGCGAAGCGACGUCAAAGCGUAUACAAAGUCGAGUCGGUUUAAGGAUACGUUCGUUGGGUAGGGGAGCGUUCUGUAAGCCUGCGAAGGUGUGUCGUGAGGCAUGCUGGAGGUAUCAGAAGUGCGAAUGCUGACAUAAGUAACGAUAAAGCGGGUGAAAAGCCCGCUCGCCGGAAGACCAAGGGUUCCUGUCCAACGUUAAUCGGGGCAGGGUGAGUCGACCCCUAAGGCGAGGCCGAAAGGCGUAGUCGAUGGGAAACGGGUUAAUAUUCCCGUACUUGGUGUUACUGCGAAGGGGGGACGGAGAAGGCUAUGUUGGCCGGGCGACGGUUGUCCCGGUUUAAGCGUGUAGGUGUGUGUUCCAGGUAAAUCCGGUUCACUUUAACACUGAGGCGUGAUGA